rnacentral:ncRNA from 1 species
GCGGGCGUACGCGACUGGCGAUAGGCGCGGCGCCCUGGCAAAGCCAAGGCACCGCCGCUGACGUGGAAACCAGCAGGAAACCUUUCCUGUGACCACUGGGGAGCGUACCGCGCGGGCCCUCCACCCCGCAGCGUUUCAGCCGUUCGCCUGGGCAGCCCUU